rnacentral:sRNA from 1 species
GUAAUGUACCCUGAACUUUUGGAAAUUAACAGAUUUAAAUGUUCACAAAUUAGGAAUAAAAUAUCAAGGAAAAUCAUCUAAAAUUGAGGAAAGUCUCGUGUGUCUUUAACUGUUCGAGCGAUCAACUAAUGAUAAAGUUCAUAAUGGCAUGGAAAAUAUUUAAGGUAAACUCAAACGAUGAUGUCUAGAUUCAUACACAAUUCUUUCAUCAAUAUUCAUUUUGUAAUCAUGUUCCUUUCUUUUUACCAUAGUGAAACAGCAUUGUACAUUUGCCAUACUGCAGAUGCAGUGUAGAUUUUAUAUAACAAUCUUUCUUUGUUGUACACACUCAAAUAAACAAAGGUCUUCUUUGUGUUUAUGAAUACAAACUGUCAAUUGACGCAUCAAUCUUUCUGUAAUGGAAAGAUAUCGUAUGAUUUUAUAAGGCCUUUAAUUUUCUUGUCACGUGUAAACAUUGUGUUUGACAAAGAUUAAAAAGUUUGGCUUUUUU